UUGUUUACCUCAGCCAAGCCACCGGAAAUCGGCGCCAUCUUGUAAUGGCGUCCGCGCUCCCCACAUCUAACUAUGAGAAAGAGAAUAACUUUGGCCCUGAUAAAGGUAUACAAACCAGGGUAUCAGACUCUUUGGGAGUAGGUAAGACCCCAAGUAAUACACCUGCACCACCAGAAGUUGAGCAGAGGAAGAGGAAAAUCAAAUACAGAUGAUACAUGAGGGAGAUGUUUAAUAUCAGUUAUGGUCUUGAGGUCAACUGCAGCAGGGGUGUGUGCAGUCCUCAUGAAUGAGUUCUUAUGACCAAUCAGAAUUCCAGAGGAGCUGUAUUAGAUGGAGUGGAUUUAACAUGAGAAGCGAGUAGUUCUGAGUAGCGCAAAGUAUAGACUGUAGAAGAUAGUGCUGGUUUCCCACCCAGAUCUCCUUUUCAGGCUCGUACACGUACACCCCAGCUCUCAUAAGUGUUGGGUCCUAAUGUCUCACAGUUGCUCUCUUCUCCAGGGAAAUGUCCUCAGCCCAUAGGAGCCACCUUGCAUGGGAAUAUACACUUUUGGGGGUGGCUUAUAGCCAAGGACUUAACUCUCUGAGUGUACAAAGGUCAUCCCCUCACAUCGAGUCCCUAGGACCUACAACAGCACUUGGCAUACAGAAGAAAUUAGGACACAGGCACACACAGUGAAAAGACCAUGGGUAGGCACAGAGAGAAGACGGUUCUUAUGCACAGAAUUGUACUCCUCCAAAAUUCGUAAUGCUAUAGCCCUACUCCCAGUACUCAGAAUGUGACAGUAUUUGGAGAUACAGCAAUUAAAAGGAUAAUUAAGUUGAAGUGAGACCAUUAGCAUGGGUCCUAAUCCAAUCUGACUGAUGUUCCUACGAGAAGAGGAGGGUAGGACAUACAGAGAAGCACUGGGGCGUGUACACCCUGGGGAAAGGCCAUGUGAGGAUGAAACAAGAAGGCAGCCAUCUGCAAGUCACAGAGAGAUGCCUCAGGACCAACCCACCCUGAAGUCACCUUGAUCUUGGACUUCUAGCCUCCAGAACUGUAAGGAAAUAAAUUUCUG